UACGGAGGGUGCAAGCGUUGUCCGGAAUCACUGGGCGUAAAGGGCGCGUAGGCGGCUCAUGAAGGCUGUGGUGAAAGUCCGGGGCUCAACCUCGGAUCGGCCGUGGCGACUCGUGGGCUGGAGCACUGUAGAGGCGGGUGGAAUUCCGGGUGUAGCGGUGGAAUGCGUAGAGAUCCGGAAGAACACCAGUGGCGAAGGCGGUCUCCUGGAGCAUACUUGACGCUGAGGCGCGAAAGCUGGGGGAGCGAACGGG
rnacentral:rRNA from 1 species